rnacentral:rRNA from 1 species
AGUGAACGCUGGCGGCAGGCCUAACACAUGCAAGUCGAACGGCAGCACAGUAAUAGCUUGCUCUUACGGGUGGCGAGUGGCGGAUGGGUGAGGAAUAAAUCGGAAUCUACUUUUUGGUGGGGGAUGACGUAGGGAAACUUAAGCUAAUACCGCCUACGACCUACGGGUGAAAGCAGGGGAUGUUCGGACCUUGUGCGAUGGAAUGAGCCGAUGUCGGAUUAGUUAGUUGGCGGGGUAAAGGCCAACCAAGGCGACGAUCCGUAGCUGGUCUGAGAGGAUGAUCAGCCACACUGGAACUUGGCCACGCACCAGACGCCUACGGGAGGCAGCAGUGGGGAAUAUUGGACAAUGGGCGCAAGCCUGAUCCAGCCAUACCGCGUGGGUGAAGAAGACCUUCGGGUUGUAAAGCCCUUUUGUUGGUAAAGAAAAGCAGCAGGUUAAUACCCCGCUGUUCUGACGGUACCCAAAGAAUAAGCACCGGCUAACUUCGUG